UACAGGGGGGGCAAGCGUUGUUCGGAAUUACUGGGCGUAAAGGGCUCGUAGGUGGCCAACUAAGUCAGACGUGAAAUCCCUCAGCUUAACUGGGGAACUGCGUCUGAUACUGGAUGGCUUGAAUCCGGGAGAGGGAUGCGGAAUUCCAGGUGUAGCGGUGAAAUGCGUAGAUAUCUGGAGGAAUACCGGUGGCGAAGGCGGCAUCCUGGACCGAGAUUGACGCUGAUGAGCGAAAGCUAGGGGAGCGAACGGG
rnacentral:rRNA from 1 species